UCCCUGGUGGUUCAGUUGGUUAGGAGCCUGCCUGCAAGGUGGGAGACCCGGGUUCGAUCCCUGGUUGGGGAA
rfam:Ovis aries breed Texel chromosome 10, whole genome shotgun sequence.